rnacentral:rRNA from 1 species
UCCCAGUUCGGAUUGCAGCCUGCAACUCGACUACAUGAAGCCGGAAUCGCUAGUAAUCGCGGAUCAGAAUGCCGCGGUGAAUACGUUCCCGGGUCUUGUACACACCGCCCGUCACACCAUGGGAGUCGGAAAUGCCCGAAGUCAGUGACCCAACCGAGAGGAGGGAGCUGCCGAAGGCAGGUCUGGUAACUGGGGUGAAGUCGUAACAAGGUAGC